GUAAACUUCUGACCCAAUGGGAAUGUGAUGAAAGAAAUAAAAGCUGAAAUAAAUCAUUCUCUUUACUAUUAUUCUGACAUUUCACAUUCUUAAAAAAUAAAGUAGUGAUCCUAACUGACCUAAGACAGAGAAUUUUUACUCUGAUUAAAUGUCAGGAAUUGUGAAAAACUGAGUUUAAAUGUAUUUGGCAAAGGUGUAUGUAAACUUCUGACUUCAACUGUACAUGUCUCUCUUCUCUCUCUUUCUGUAACUAUUUCUCAACUCCCUCCUCUCUCACACCCUCAGCCACAACAACCCAACCAGGUCAGUCUAAACAGUAUCACCAGGUUCACAUCAAGUACACAGUGAUCUUUUCAUGUAGAGCAAAGAUCCUCUUUUUAUCACAGAGGGGGGAAAAACCUCUGGCUCCCACAGAGAUACAAUGUGGGAAUGUUAUUCAUCCCUACUAGACCUUUCAGUGCCAUUCAAAACUUCUGUUGGUCAGCAGUAAUUGUGCCCACUGCCCCUGUACCAGUAGGAAUUCUCCCCGUUUACACCUAGCACUGCCCACUCCUCACCUACGGGUUCUCAACCCCCCCAUGCCCCGGCUAGAAACUUCUUGAAGGUGUUGUUAUUCUUUGAAUAGACUACAGUACCUCCUGUCUUGGGCUUGAACUUUGAAGUUGAACGCUGAAGUUGAGAAUCGUUUGGACUGUGAAUUAAAGAUGUCUUUAAAGAGACGGCUGCUGUCCAUGUUGUUGGGCUGUGUCUACUGCGUGGCUUCGCUCUUCUGCUUGAACCCCAACAACUGUGUCUCCAUCAGCACCCGGAAUCUCAUGACAGUUGUCCAGCAGCUGUACCAGCGAGUCACUAGGCUUAUGCGCACCACUUUGUGAUCUUGUGGAGCCCGUUAACACUCAUCAUCCUCAAGACUGAAACACUCUACUGCCCUACACUUUCCAUCCAAUGGAGAUGACCUGCAGAGCACCUGCCACAGACAGAGCAAGAGGACAAAUAGUGCUCUCACAGUCAUGGAUUGUUUUUUUUGGAACACCUGAACAUUCUUAGCCUCUUACCAUUUCAGUUCACUGUAAUAAAGAGGGAGAUAGUAAAAAAAUUGUUAUUAAUUCAGAUAGAUUUAGUUGAGAUCCUAUUGGGCUUGUUGUGUGAGAUGUGAAUGAGGUGGUGGACGCAAAGAGGGCUGGCCCUAGCCUUUUGUGGGCCCUAAGCGAGAUUUGGUUGGGGGGCCCCCCACCUUGCGGGCAAAACAUUUUAGUGGUCCUCCUCUUGACAGCAGAGAGAAAAAAAGUAUAUUUUAAAGUUAAUUUACUGCAAUACUACACAUUUUGCAUGGACCGGAGAGAACCUUUUGCAAUUUUAUAAUUAAUUUCAUGGAAUUCUACUUAUUUUGCAGAGAUAAAAAUGUGAAGUUUUAAAGCUAAUUUCCUGCAAUUCUACACAUUUUGCCAUGACUCAUGCCAUGUUAAUAUAAUAUGAUAUCUGAGUGAGAGUGACUAAUACAAUCAAUGGGGGCACACUGGAGUUCAGGGUCCCUGGGCAUGUGCCCUGCGUGCCUGGUCGGCAAUUCGGCCAUGAUUACUAAAAGUUUAGAUUGCUGGCUAGACUAAUUUACCAAUCUCAAAAAUUGUGACUGACAUGACAAGAGAUUAUUCUACUAUUCUAACUCUCAACAGUUAGUUGAGACCCUGCCUGAGUUUGUUUGUGUGGUUUGGGGGCCCCUAGUGGCCACUUAUGUCUCUUAGUGGCUAGGGGUGGCCCUGGACGCAAACAUACUUGUAGGUCUACUAUGUUGACAGGUUUCACCUGUGAUUCUGUGGCUCAGGCUGUUCCCUUUUAUAUGCUUGACUGAUCUUUCCAUUAUAGAACUUGAAUGUUAGCACCAUUGUUAGCACAGGAGGCAAAACAUUUGUAAUACAUGGAUGGGACACAAUGAGCUGGCCAUUGACACUGUGGAUUUUAUUUUGGCAGCUUUCCGUAGGCAUAACGAUGUAGGGUGUGGUUGCUCUUGCCUUGAGGGGAGACGUCACAGAACUGACUGAUUUAAGUAGCUGGUAAAUUUGUUUUGCACACAGAAUGCCAUUCACAGAGAGCAUUUUUACUUUUGCAGAGUAUGAAUAUACUUUUGCCGUGUAUUAAGUAUUAUGAGAAUGCUUUUGCAUAGCUGAAGAAAUGCAGUGCAUGUUAGAAGCAUUUGCUUAAGUGCAUGAGCUUUGUGUUAGUGGCAGAAAUGUCCUGCAUUGUAAUGCGAGUGCUGGAAAAGCCAAUUACAGGAUCAUUCAAAGAUGUCAUUCACUUCAUGCCCUCUUGUGGAAAACUGAGCAGUUAUUUCUACAUGAUGGUCAAUAAAUGAAUGCUUUCAAUGAGCUUCAAAUCUACCAAUGGACAUGGAAAAGGUUUCCUGCUGGAAUUGAUGUGAUUGUGUUUUGUUAAAUCUGCUCAAUGAAUGCAUAUAGUGCAGUAUGUGCUGUCUUCAUAACAUAAUACUGGGCUUUUACCUUGUGCAAAUUAUGGGAAGAUAGGCAGGGGAGUAUUGAACAACAUGUAGUUCAACUUUGCAUUAGCUUGGUGGUAGUUUAAAUAAAUUCAAAUCUAGGUAGUGUUUUCAGUAGUUAAUGACGUUUUUGCCAUGUAGCGGUGUAGCUAACUACUGGAACUACAGACUACUUUUUUUGCUAAAAUUAAAUAAAAAGGCAAGAAUUUUCUUUUUAGUAGUAACUUUAGUUAAGUAAACUAUAUUUUCUGAGUAUCUUCCCCAACAUUGAAGAUAAUAUGUCCAAUACAUUUGUACCACUUGACUGAUCUAAAUGUUAUAACAGUUUAGUCUUUUGUCAUUCAUGCUGCAGGCCUAUAAAAACGGAUAUAAUACACUUUACAUUUGUUUUCAUAAAUGUUUGCCAGUAUAUUUUUUAUAUGCCUAUAACUUUCACUCACAACAUAAGUCUGGUGUAAUAGAUAGCCAUAUGAGGUAAUAUAUUUACUACAUGAUAAAUAUAUAUGUAGGCCUAAGGAAAUUGUAACAAAGGCAAACUACAUAAAAAGGGCGUUGCAUCAUUAUCGCGUACCCUUCCAAAUGGUUCCGGAAACUUCCGGUGCCCUCUGUUCCUCUUUCGGCACAAAUCCACUAGAAAUGGAAAGCUCGUAGCCGGAUAACUUUUGUGUUGUUUUAUUUAUUGAAUAAACCCACUUGAUGUUGAAGAUAUGGAAUCCAAAAUAAAAUAGCAGUGUACAACUUUUAUUUACAUUACUGGUAGGUGUCAUUAUGUGGUGUUGCAGUUUGUAGCGGGUUUCGUAACUUAUUUCUAAAACUGUUGGCUUUAGCUAAGAAGCUACAGUAACUAUAGUAGCAAGCUGGUUGUCGCUAACAUGCGGACCUGACGGCCAACGCGGGUUCUGCUGAAUGAACGAUUAUUCCUUUGAUUUGAUUGACAUUUCAGAUAGGACUGCGACUCACCUCUGUAUUUUAAAAGUUGAACUGGUGUUAGCGUAGUAUCAGAUAACAUUACAUUGUGUCAUCUUGUGGUGAAAAUAUGAAUGACAUUGCUGUCACUCGCGUGUUCCUACACACAGUGAUGUGGGCGGGGAAUGAAGCAACCAAAGCCAAUUGGAAUCCUUUAAAUGUUGAUUGACUUAAAUUGCAGCCAAUAGAAAUUCUCAAUAUUUGUGACGGCUAAUUUCAUGACUCUUUGAGAGAGGCGUUCCUUUCCGGCGCAA
rnacentral:lncRNA from 1 species